GCCAGCAUGGUUUAAUGGUUUGAGCGUUGGACUAGGAAUCUAGUCUGGAGACCAAGGUUCGAAUCCUCACUCGGCCA